AGCGGAGGAAAAGAAACUAACCAGGAUUCCCUUAGUAACGGCGAGUGAACAGGGAUGAGCCCAGCACCGAAGCCUGCGGUCAUUUGGCUGCUAGGCAAUGUGGUGUUUAGAUUGGUUUUUGGCAUUUCUGCUUCAUCCUAAGUCCAUCAAUGAGUACGGCUAAUGGACCGGCCCAAAGAGGGUGAAAGGCCCGUGUGGAUGAAGAUCAAGUAAGACAGAAGUGCUUUGAACGGAUCUUGGAGUCGGGUUGUUUGUGAAUGCAGCCCAAAGUGGGUGGUAGACUCCAUCCAAGGCUAAAUACUGGCACGAAUCCGAUAGCAAACAAGUACCGUGAGGGAAAGUUGAAAAGUACUUUGAAGAGAGAGUAAACAGUGCGUGAAACCGCUCAGAGGUAAACGGGUGGAGUUGAACUGGAAUCCACGGGAAUUUAACUGAUGAGUAUGGCAUGCGCUUGGGCAUGUUGGCCUGCAAUGAAGAUUUGCUUAGUUGCUGCCCAAGUCAUCUGAUUUUGGGUGCACGUUGCACUUAUCAUGUGUUGUGUGCUUUUGUUGCAUUGGGCUUGCUUGUCAGUGCAUUUUCUCGGGGUGAUCACCACGACCGGCGUGGUUGUCUGUUUGCUGCGGUUAAACCAACCAGAUUUGGUCAUUUUGGCUAGGUUUGGUUGGGAUGGCAGGUAGCUUGUUGGCUCAUUUGAGUUAGCAAGUGUUAUUGGCUGACCGUAGUAAAUUUGUGCAAUAUGUCGGAGAUGACGGCUUUGCUCACGCUGUUUAGCAAAUCAAGUUGGGUUUGAUUGGCACGUACUUGUUCCGGCAGGUCUGUCAGUAUCCCAGUCGGGUUUGUUGGCAGUGGUGCGUGACGUGUAUUGAGCCUAUAGUCUGUGGUGUAGUGGUAGACUAUCCACC
rnacentral:rRNA from 1 species